AGUAAGAUGGCUGAGAUUAGGCAAUAAAUUGUAAAUUUAUUUACAGGUAAAACCUUCUUAUU
rnacentral:tRNA from 1 species